rnacentral:rRNA from 1 species
CAGUCGAACGGUAACAGCGGAAGCUUGCUUNCGGCUGACGAGUGGCGGACGGGUGAGUAACACGUAGGAAUCUACCUAGUAGUGGGGGACAACCCGGGGAAACCCGGGCUAAUACCGCAUACGCUCUACGGAGGAAAGCAGGGGAUCUUCGGACCUUGCGCUAUUGGAGGAGCCUGCGUCGGAUUAGCUAGUUGGUGGGGUAAAGGCCUACCAAGGCGACGAUCCGUAGCUGGUCUGAGAGGACGAUCAGCCACACUGGAACUGAGACACGGUCCAGACUCCUACGGGAGGCAGCAGUUAGGAAUCUUGGGCAAUGGGCGCAGGCCUGACUCAGCCAUGCCGCGUGUGUGAAGAAGGCCUUCGGGUUGUAAAGCACUUUCAGCGGUGAAGAAAUGCUCAGGGCUAAUACCCUUGAGUCUUGACGCUAACCACAGAAGAAGCACCGGCUAACUCCGUGCCAGCAGCCGCG